AACGAACGCUGGCGGCAUGCCUAACACAUGCAAGUCGAACGAGACCUUCGGGUCUAGUGGCGCACGGGUGCGUAACGCGUGGGAACCUGCCUUUAGGUUCGGAAUAACUCAGAGAAAUUUGAGCUAAUACCGGAUAAUGUCUUCGGACCAAAGAUUUAUCGCCUUUAGAUGGGCCCGCGUAAGAUUAGCUAGUUGGUGGGUAAAGGCCUACCAAGGCGACGAUCUUUAGCUGGUCUGAGAGGAUGAUCAGCCACACUGGGACUGAGACACGGCCAGACUCCUACGGAGGCAGCAGUGGGGAAUAUUGGACAAUGGGCGAAAGCCUGAUCCAGCAAUGCCGCGUGAGUGAUGAAGGCCUUAGGGUUGUAAAGCUCUUUUACCCGAGAUGAUAAUGACAGUAUCGGAGAAUAAGCUCCGGCUAACUCCGUGCCAGCAGCCGCGUAA
rnacentral:rRNA from 1 species